rnacentral:rRNA from 1 species
AUGGUGCUGCCAUUGAUGUUGUUACUGUUAGGUCGAUCUCUCCACCGAGUGGGCUCAACAGCCCAUCGGGCCCUAAUCUAUUCGCGCCCUGAUCGGGGGCGCCCAAUCCUCUUAUGGUUGGUGGGCCCCUGUGACCUGCGAUAUAGACCUGCGAUAUAUAGAGAGGUGAGGGCCGGGGCACAAGGUACGAGGUUUAUCGCACCGCCAGACUCCCCACCGAAAUCCCCUUCCGAUCUAGGGCAAUUGCAGUGCUCACGGGAAGCACCACUGCCACCUCUCCAUCUCGAUCUCUCUGCUAUCACCGACCCCUACUUCACCAUGGCCGGCGCUGGAUCGAGCUCAUCUGCACCCAAAGAAGGAGGCUUUCACUUGAUGAGUUGCCUAAAAGAAGUUCCGACACUCAGAGGUGACAACCACACUGGGUGGAGGAAGAAAGUUGAACUGGCAUUUGUUUGUGCUGAUCUGGACUGGGUUCUGGAUGAACCACAGUCGGUCAGACCUACAGAGCCAGUAAGAGAGACCACUGAUGAUAAUGCUGCAUGGGCUAAAAAGAGGGGGGAUUAUGCUCCUUUGGAGAUGUCCUACAUCGUAGACAACCAAAAGUGGGUCAAUGCAAAUAAAAAAUGCAUGGCGUUUAUAAAGAAUACAAUUGAGAGCACCAUUGUGGGCUCCAUUGCAGAGUGCACUUCCGCAGGGGAGUUGCUGACAAAGAUAAAGAGCCAGUUCACUAGCUCUUCAAAAAUAUAUGCCACCCAGAUGUUAAAACAACUUGUGACAGAACAAUACACAGGUGGUGGAAUAAGAGAGCACAUCCUCAGGAUGAGCAAUAUGGCAGCAAAGCUAAAGCCCAUGGAUGAGGAUCUGGGGAUCAAAUCAAAGCUUCUGGUCCACCUGGUCAUGGCUUCACUGCCAAAGGAGUUUGAAACUUUUAUGAACAUGGGACAUUGA